rnacentral:lncRNA from 1 species
GUAAUUGUGUUAUCUACUCUUCCCUUCAUCAACUUUAUUUUUGAUGGUUGGAAGUAAUAUAUAGUGGUGUUUCAUUAUGUCACAUCCCAAAUUUUACGUUUUGAAACAUAUUUUUAAAAGCAAUGAAUUUGAAUGUGAAUCGGAAAAUUAUCCAAUGCAGAUGAAUAAUUAAUUAUUCACAAAUGCUAGAAAGUAGAAAUUUAGAAUCAUAAACCUUACAUCCAUAUUGAAGGUAUGAUGUCAAACUCUAAACCAUGUAGCAAAAAUGUAAAUUUAAAUAUAGGAAUUUACAUAAGAAUCAUGUCACUUACUUUCCAAGCAAGUGGUAAGCGUCAAUUACUACACCUGAAUACACCUGAAUGCCUCUUGUUAACCUUCAAGACUAACUCCCUGCAAAGUCACUCCCUACACCACAAAUGGUGGACCGGGUUCACAAAAGAUAAGAAAACCCGGUAAGAUUAUGAAUUACUUGUAUGAGUAAAAACUACACAAGAGACUAUUAUACACCGAAAUAUCACUUUAAGUAAAACAAGAGAAUAUUUCAUAAGAGUGUAUGAUGAACACCUUUAAAAUAACAAUACAUAAGUCCACUAAUGAUAAGACACAGUAAGUUUCUUACUAAACAAUGUAUAGACAUGAUGUACCACUCUAUUCUACAGAUUGAUGUGAUACUUAGAGAAGGAUAAAAGAGCAUUUCACAGGUUUGAUAACAACAACUCUAUAAAAUAAGAAAUAAAAAUCCAUGAGACAACUGUGAUAACAUCCAGCAUGUCUCCUACAAAGCAAUGAUGAAGUACCACCCUGGUCUAUACCUAUACAAAGCACAAGACAAACGACUAACCUUGCAACAAUACACAAUUUGAUUUAAGAAUACACAAUGAUCGCUCCUCAUCUAUAAAACCCACAUGGAUCAAACUCACCAAGUAGGGCACUACUCUAACACGGAUCAGACUCACAAUGUUGAACCAGACCGCACGAAAUAAUACUGAAUUGACAACGACAGACUAGUGCACUAACUGUUAUGAGGCUUUUCACCCCAGGGACUAUUCUUGUUCCCUGCUUGCUCACCGUGGGAUCAAACUCACCCAUUCAACAAAGUACUCAAGGUAUUCUAACCUUUCAUCAAUUGUAACCACAAAGACUCGUUACCAUAGUGAUGACACAAAGUAAAUUAUGCAGAUGUUUACACAAGUACAUAUAACUAAAACAAGAACAUUAAUGUACGUAGAUUAAAAAUUUCUAUAUUUGCUUUAAAACAUAAAAUUCACAAGAGUGAAAGAUAUAACCAUGAUUAAUUGCAGGGAAAAGAAAUAUGUAUUACAUAACUUAAGGUAUCAGAAUUUACAUUGCAAGUAUAAGACAUAACUAAAGUUUGAUGUUAAGAAGACAAGGGGCUAAGCAUUUGUGGAUUCCAUAAAAGCAUUGUCAUCUGACUCUAAAAAGAACUCAGAUUUCUUUCAGAUGUUCAUACUAGAAAAUUUGAUGCAACCUUCCUAUUUCAAAGUUCUCUACAUGUUUCAGUUCUUAUUCGUUUGAGGUGAUUCUUGAUCUUAUUGAAACGUGAAGGAACCUUCUACAAUGUUGUGUGUGCUCAUACUUAAUCAAGAUGUUCAAUGAACCCAAAGAGUCCUUGAACCCAUCUGGAUUAAUAUACAAGUGAAACAAACAAGAAAAACUUCACACCACCAUAACUUCCUCAAUUCUCAAUCAAAUUAAGCAAGUAAUAUGUCGAUUUUAUACUACUCAAAAUGUCCAACACAUCUGUACCAUCAAAUCAUGAAUCAAAGACAAACAAAGAUGCUAAAUUGACCAAUUACAGUAAAUUCGACCCAAACCAUAAAAGAAGAGAAAACCCGACUGAACCCAGUUUCCAAACAACCAAGCAUCCCUAAAAUUCAAGUUCCUAUCAAAAGAAUGUGAAUGUGAAAUCCUGAAUGGCAAAACAACAACUCAAAGGAUUAUCAGAAACAAUGGAAGAGGGAAAGAAGAACAACUGUAAUUCUUGAACUAAGAAAUUUCAGAGGUUUUACUCACCUAACACUUGCUCCCAAACGCACGACUUCAGUUCUCCUCCCUCUCCUCCAAAACGUUUGUCCUCCUCUCCCUAUUCCCGGAAACUAGUCGAUAAACAAAAACUUCCCAAAGUCAGUAAAGUUAACUGCCUGUAGUGUUCCCUUUCAACUUCUUUUCUUUUUCUUUUCUUUUUUUUU